rnacentral:rRNA from 1 species
AAACGGAUUAGAUACCCGUGUAGUCCUAGCAGUAAACACUGCACACUAAACAUCAGUACCUCCCCGAGAGGUAUUGGUGCUGUAGGGAAGCCGGAGAGUGUGCUACCUGGGAAGUAUAGCCGCAAGGCCGAAACUUAAAGGAAUUGGCGGGGAGAUACUACAACGGGUGACGCGUGCGGUUCAAUUAGAUUCUACACCGUGAACCUCACCAGGACCGAAUCAGGAUUCCAUGUCGCUAGAAGUAAGGUUUAUAAAUGAUUACGUCCUUAAGUAUCGUAUAGAUUAAAUUCUGUAUAAUACUAUGAGGCAUAAUAUAGAUCUUACCCAGCUAAGCAGGAGAGAACUUGGUUAUCUUAUAGGAUUUUACGUCGGAGACGGAAAUAUCUUCGUAAAAAAAGAGCUAGGAGUUUAUCGUCUUAGAUAUUUCACAUAUAUAAAAGAAAAAGAAACACAAAAGAAACUCAAAAAAGUGCUCUUAAAAAUCUUCGAUAAAACCUAUUGCUAUAAAAAACAAGACAAUACUUUUGUUCUUGAGAAGCAUUCAAAAGAUUUAAUUAAAUUCAUAAAGAAAACCUGUGAUAAAAAGGGUCUUAAAGUUAAAACUUCGAGAGAAUUUAAAAUAGGAUAUAUCGAAGGUUUAAUUGACUCUGACGGAUAUGUUCAAAGAAAUUACGUCGAGAUAACCACUUCAAAUCCUAAACUCAAAAAUCAGAUAAUCGAGAUCUUGGAAAAGUUUAAGGUUGCAUGCACUGUGAGGAAAUAUCCUCCUUCUGGUCUCUCUAAAAAAAUGGGAUUCAGAGUUGGGUUUUCCUUGCUUCACGGGCGACCUUUCUCUCCUGUGAAAUGGGCUUCUGGUGUCUAAACAGCAGAAUGAAGGUCAGUCUAAAGGGCUUACCUGACACGCUGAGAGGAGUUGCAUGGCCGACGUCAGCCUGUGCCGUGAGGUGACCUGUUAAAUCAGGUAACAGGCAAGACCCACAUCUCUAUUUACCACGUGUACAAUAGAGAGAUCGCCUUGGUAACAAGGAUGAAAGUGUGGGCUACGUUAGGUGGGUACAGCCCGACAGCCCUGGGCAACACGCGCGCGUCAAUGGUGGAUACAAUGAGAUGCAACUCUGAAAAGAGAAGCUAAUCUCCUAAAGUCCAUCUCAGUUCAGAUUGAGGCUUGUAACUCAGCCUCAUGACGCUGGAAUCCGUAGUAAUCGUUUGUUAUCAGCGAACGGUGAAUAUGUCAAUGUCUCUUGCACACACUGCCCGUCAAACCAACCGAGUUAUGUUAUGGUGAAACUCUUCUGAGGAGAACCUUAGCAUGACAAGGCAGGUUAAGUCGUCACAAGGUAACUGUAGGGGAACCUGCAGUUGGAUCACCUCCU